UAUGACAAUAUAGUAUUAGUUAAUAUGCAUUAAACAAUCCAUUUUUAAAACUAUGAUUAAUAUAAGCACUUUUAUAAAUACACAUGCAUUUACAUAUACAAGACAAAAUAUACCUAAAUAUUAAUUAUUUAAAAGUUAUAAUUUAAUAAAAAUUAAAUAGGAAAAAUCUAAAGGGAAAUUAUGCUUUUACCUCAUUUUUGGUACCACUAUUCAUGUUUCAUUCAUUAGAGUUCAUGUUUAGUUCAUUAGAGGG
rnacentral:lncRNA from 1 species